CCCUUAGAUGUUCUGGGCUGCACGCGUGUUACAAUCGGGAGUACAACAAGAUUGCAAAUCCUAGUGGAUGAGUGGUUCUUCGAAAUUUUCUGAAGACUGGGAUAGUUGAUUGAAAUUAUUCAACUCGAACGAGGAAUUCCUUGUAAUUGUAAUUCAUUAUAUUGUAAUGAAUACGUCCCUGCCCUUUGUACACACCGCCCGUCGCUCCUACCGAUUGAACGAUCCGGUGAAUUAUUUGGAGUAGCUCUGGAAGUUGCAGAACUUCCUAUGUCACGAAAUUUUGUAAACCUUAUCGUUUAGAGGAAGGAAAGGUCGUAACA
rnacentral:rRNA from 1 species